AACGAACGCUGGCGGCAUGCCUAACACAUGCAAGUCGAACGGGAUCCGAGCUUCGGUUCGGUGAGAGUGGCGGACGGGUGAGUAACGCGUGGGAACCUGCCCAGUGGUGGGGGAUAACUGCGGGAAACUGCAGCUAAUACCGCAUGAGCCCGAGAGGGGGAAAAGAUUUAUCGCCAUUGGAGGGGCCCGCGUUCGAUUAGGUAGUUGGUGAGGUAACGGCUCACCAAGCCGACGAUCGAUAGCUGGUCUGAGAGGAUGAUCAGCCACACUGGGACUGAGAUACGGCCCAGACUCCUACGGGAGGCAGCAGUGGGGAAUAUUGGACAAUGGGCGAAAGCCUGAUCCAGCAAUGCCGCGUGAGUGAUGAAGGCCUUAGGGUUGUAAAGCUCUUUUACCCGGGAUGAUAAUGACAGUACCGGGAGAAGUAAGCCCGGCGUAACUCCGUGCCAGCAGCCGCGGUAA
rnacentral:rRNA from 1 species